rnacentral:rRNA from 1 species
UACAGAGGUCCCAAGCGUUGUUCGGAUUCACUGGGCGUAAAGGGUGCGUAGGCGGUCGGGUAAGUCUGACGUGAAAUCUUCAAGCUCAACUUGGAAACUGCGUCCGAUACUAUUCGGCUAGAGGAAUGGAGGGGAGACUGGAAUACUUGGUGUAGCAGUGAAAUGCGUAGAUAUCAAGUGGAACACCAGUGGCGAAGGCGAGUCUCUGGACAGUUCCUGACACUGAGACACGAAGGCCAGGGGAGCAAACGGG